CUACGUGCCAGCAGCCGCGGUAAUACGUAGGGCGCGAGCGUUGUCCGGAAUUAUUGGGCGUAAAGGGCUUGUAGGCGGUUGGUCGCGUCUGCCGUGAAAUUCUCUGGCUUAACUGGGGGCGUGCGGUGGGUACGGGCUGACUUGAGUGCGGUAGGGGAGACUGGAACUCCUGGUGUAGCGGUGGAAUGCGCAGAUAUCAGGAAGAACACCGGUGGCGAAGGCGGGUCUCUGGGCCGUUACUGACGCUGAGGAGCGAAAGCGUGGGGAGCGAACAGGAUUAGAUACCCUGGUAGUCCACGCUGUAAACGUUGGGCACUAGGUGUGGGGGCCACCCGUGGUUUCUGCGCCGUAGCUAACGCUUUAAGUGCCCCGCCUGGGGAGUACGGCCGCAAGGCUAAAACUCAAAGGAAUUGACGGGGGCCCGCACAAGCGGCGGAGCAUGCGGAUUAAUUCGAUGCAACGCGAAGAACCUUACCAAGGCUUGACAUGUUAACCGUGGCUCUAGAGAUAGGGUUUACC
rnacentral:rRNA from 1 species